GCCCGGGUGGUGAAAUCGGUAGACACAAGGGAUUUAAAAUCCCUCGGCUUAUGGUCGUGCGGGUUCAAGUCCCGCCCCGGGCACCA
rnacentral:tRNA from 30 species